AUGGACAUGGAGGAUUCCUCCUCCUGCUCCUCCUCCUCGCCGGCGCCGGCGGCGGACUUGGUCGACUACCUGGGUCCCGACACCUCCGUCACCGUCUUCACCAUGCUCCACCACCCCGCCGACCUCGCACGCGCAUCCGCCGUCUCCCGAUCCUGGCGACAAUUCGUUAUCGACAACCAGUUCAGCAAGCUGCAGUGCCUGCGGGCCUGCCCGGAGCUCUCCACCUUCACCCAAGUCGACAUCACCACCACCUCCGGCUCCAGAACCCCGGCACGCCGGGACCAGGACACCACCACCGGGUCGAGCGCCGAGGACGAGAAGCUCCACAGGGUGUACACGCACCUCGGCCACGGCCUCCUCUCGCCCUACAAGCCCAGGGACUGCAUCAUCCACUGCAUCGGCGCCUCCAGCACCGACAACUUCCCCGACGAGACCAUCGAGAACACCCUCGAGCCCGUCGACCACCUCGAGUCCAACAGGCCCUCCUACUGGUCCAGCGGCGGCCAGAGGGACCCCGCCGUGCCCGAGUGCCUCAUAUAUCGCCUCCAGGCCGAUCUCUGCCUCAUCCAAGAGAUCAAGCUGCAGCCAUUCAAAGCGUUUUUCCAGCAUGGCGAUCCCAUAUAUUCGCCAAAGAGCAUCCGCAUCCAGAUGGGCUAUCCAAGGUCACCGCUACGCCCUGAAGCACUUGUCUGUGAUGAAAAUGAAGGCCAGUUGAUUGAUGAUAGAAACUACGUCUGGACCUACACAUCUCCAGAAUUCCCAAUGCUGCAGGAAAAUGUUUUGCAAUCCUUCAAGUUACCACGGCCGGUUCUGUGUAUUGGCGGGGUGGUGAAGGUUGAGCUUCUUGGGAGAGUUCAGAAACAGGCAAUCGAUGGCCUCUACUACAUAUGCAUAUCUCAUGUCCAAAUAGUGGGGAAGGCACUGUCCCGAGACCUGGGGGUUGUUCCUCGCGGGAACGGCCUGGUCCUGAACUACUAUCUGGAUCCCCGUACAUGCGGCGUUCCCCGCCGUGAACCGUCACGGGACGAUGGGCGCAGCAGGUGGCAGGGCCUGGCGUCAAGGAUCUGGCAUUCUGGCACGGCGCGAGGGAUAGGAGGUCUGAACCAAACGCUGUUGAGUAGACUGUUUGGCGGUCCGUUGCGGCUCGUGGUCGUAGCGGACGAAUCGGAAGGGGAGGAGGAGGAGGAUCUUCCUUAG
rnacentral:rRNA from 1 species